GCAAGUCGAGCGCGAAAGUUCUUCGGAGCGAGUAGGGCGGCGGACGGGUGAGUAACGCGUAGGAAUCUACCCAGUGGUGGGGGACAACCUGGUGAAAACCAGGCUAAUACCGCAUACGCCCGAGGGGGAAAGCGGGGGCUCUCUUCGGAGACCUCGCGCCAUUGGAUGAGCCUGCGUCGGAUUAGCUAGUUGGUGGGGUAAAGGCCCACCAAGGCGACGAUCCGUAGCUGGUCUGAGAGGACGAUC
rnacentral:rRNA from 1 species